rnacentral:rRNA from 1 species
UACAGAGGGGGCAAGCGUUGUUCGGAAUUACUGGGCGUAAAGGGCGCGUAGGCGGCCUGUUAAGUCGAACGUGAAAUCCCCGGGCUCAACCCGGGAACUGCGUCCGAUACUGGCAGGCUUGAAUUCGGGAGAGGGAUGCGGAAUUCCAGGUGUAGCGGUGAAAUGCGUAGAUAUCUGGAGGAACACCGGUGGCGAAGGCGGCAUCCUGGACCGAGAUUGACGCUGAGGCGCGAAAGCCAGGGGAGCGAACAGG